ACUCAAAUGAAUUGACGGGGACCCGCACAAGCAGCGGAGCAUGUGGUUUAAUUCGAAGCAACGCGAAGAACCUUACCAAGACUUGACAUCCUCUGACCGGCGUAGAAAUACGCUUUCCCUUCGGGGCAGAGAGACAGGUGGUGCAUGGUUGUCGUCAGCUCGUGUCGUGAGAUGUUCGGUUAAGUCCGGCAACGAGCGCAACCCUUAUGAUAUGUUGCCAAUAUUAAGUUAGGAACUCAUAUCAGACUGCCAUGGAUAAACAUGGAGGAAGGUGGGGAUGACGUCAAAUCAUCAUGCCCCUUACGUCUUGGGCUACACACGUGCUACAAUGGGCGCUACAAAGAGCAGCAAGCUAGUAAUAGUAAGCGAAUCUCAAAAAAGCGUUCUCAGUUCGGAUUGAGGGCUGCAACCCGCCCUCAUGAAGCAGGAGUUGCUAGUAAUCCCGGAUCAGAACGCCGGGGUGAAUGCGUUCCCGGGUCUUGCACACACCGCCCGU
rnacentral:rRNA from 1 species